rnacentral:lncRNA from 1 species
AGUAUACAUGAAUUUGCUUCUGCCUUUGCCACCCCUGAGACAGCAAGACCAACAACCCCUUCUCUUCCUCUUCAGCCUACUCAGUGUGAAGAUGAUAAAAUGAGACAGUGGUGAUGUUUCAGAGAACCCAACUCAAACUGACUUGAACAAGAGAAAUCAAUGUUUACUGCAGAGAACACAGAAGCCAGCAAGCAGCAGGGAAGGGAGGCGAACCAACGCAGCAGCCCACCGGGACCGAGGAGGACACACGCAGAGCAAGUCACAGGAAGCGCAGCUGAAAACAAAUGGACGCUUAUCCCAAAUGCACAGGGCACUUACCAAGAACUGAUGGUCCGUCAAAGUAAAGCUCAACAGCUUUGGCUGGCAGGACAGUUAAACUUUUGGACGACAGAAAGUAACAGUGGGAAAUGGGACAACAUCUGCCAGCAACGCGAGAGGCCAAGACCAUGGCUGCUACAGAAAGGGUCAGCGUCACAGUACACGCGUGGCGGCGGUUGCACAUGCAUGCCUGGGGAAUGUGAGUGUUCAGACAUGCCAGGAGUCCAGCCUCACCAGGAAACAGGCACACGGGGACAGAGGCGCAAACACUGAAAACUCUCGCUGAAUCCACUCGGCUGAGCGGUGGUCACGAGAGCACGGCGCUGCGCUCCCCACAAAACUGCACCUGGGCCCCAGGGCGAGACAGGCGUGGAAGGUGCAGGGAUGUGGGUGGGAGCAGGGGCUCCCGGCUCAGAGCCGUAUCCAGGAACCCCCCUUCAGGCUGGAGCCCUGCCCUGAGCCCCCUGUGGAGAGACUGUGGAGAGCCCCCUGUGGAGAGGGUGACUGUGGGAGAGCAGCAUCAGGCCUAGUCUCGGCUGUGAAGUCCCCCCCACCUCCACGCAGGAUCCCGGGGAUUCUGUCAAGGUGGGGGCCGCCUGCUCAGCCCAGGCUCCCUGAACGUGUGGCUAGCUGGGUUUGCGGAAGAAACCAGGAGAGUGCCAACACCAGGCUUGCAAGCAAGAGGCUCCCUGACUGCCUGAUCCCGGAGCGCACCCCAUCCUCGCUGUGUUCCCUGGGCCUCAGCUGUUCCCCAGUGACCUUGGAGACACCCUGCCCCACUCUGGCUCCACAGGAGCCCCGCCCAUCACCGCCUCAGCUCUGAGUCUCCCCUGGGGACACAACCUUCCUCCUGGUGCAGAGGCGUAGGACGCUGCCCCUAAGGCCCAUCUUCCUCUGCAGCAUGUUUUGAUGUCAACUCAUUCACAGGAAAGAAACAAUCACAUCUCAGUGCCCAGAAUGGGGACCAAUAAGAGAGGUCACUGGGAAUAAAGCCCACAUGCACCCCAGGGUCCAUGGGCUCCCCAGAAACGCAGGUGGCCUCCGCCGGAGCCAACAAGCCUAAGUUGCUGAUCGGCCCCUCCCUGCUUCCCUGUGUGGAAGAGGAAACAGAGGCCCAGACUAGUAGGGCUCUGCAGUGGUGGCCGGCUGCGUCCCCAGACCUCUGGUCCCAGGGCUGGCUGGGAGUGCCCCUCCUUGUGCUCACUUCCUGCUCUCCUGGGAAAUGGCUUAGGGAUGGGGCGUGUGGGGACAGAUGCUGGCAUAGCUCACAAAAUGCUUGCACAAGGGACACUCCAUGGCAGGUCCCUGCAGCAGAGCAAAGUCACAACAUUCAGAGAUUCCCUGCACUCUGAGGCCCGCAGAGCCUGGCCGACCAAGCGAGGCUGGGAGGAUGGUGCCCGCUGGUCAGGGCGGCUGAGCAAGGCUGGGAGGAUGUUGCCUGCUGGUCAGGGCAGCCCUCUGAUCAGGGCGGCCGAGUGAGGCUGGGAGGAUGGUGCCUGCUGGUCAGGGCAGCUGAGCGUGGCUGGGAGGAUGGUGCCUGCUGGUCAGGGCAGCCCUCUGGUCAGGGUGGCCAAGCGAGGCAGGAAGGGAGGUACCCACUGGUCAGGGCAGCCGAACAAGGCUGGAAAGAUGGUGCCUGCUGGUCAGGGCGGCUGAAUGAGGCUGGGAGGAUGGUGUUUGCUGGUCAGGGCAGCUCAGGAGGUGCUGCCCAGGAGGUGCUGUCCAGGCAGAGCCUAGGGCUGGUGUGGGUGUGCCAUGCUCCUGAGAAGUUUCUGGGUUGUGGCUUUAAUGUUCUCCUGCAGUGAGAAUGCUGACACUUGGCCAAAGGGUCCUCACCUCUCCCCUAGUACACUUCUGAGAUGCCAGGAAGGUUCUGAACAUCAGAUUGAUUCCUGGGACUCCCCUCCAGGGUGGCCUUACUGGAGUCAGGAGCCCCUGCCCCACUAGGAUGGCUCUGCAGUGGCCUGAGGACAGUGAGCACUGGUCACUGGUGCAAAGUUGCCCACUGUGAUGGUUUUGACCUUUGAUGGGAACCAAGUGAAAGCCCUGCAGCUAUUUCUAGGCAUUUCAGAGGGUGCUUCCCUGCAUGUACUCCGCUGCAGACCAUCCUCCCUGGGCCAGGAGCCCGCCACACAGAAGGAGAUUCUUUUUCUUCUCUUUUGAGCACUUUUAUUCUCUUUUUCUUAAUCUCUGCUCCUCCUCUGAACUGAGAAAUGUGCAAAUCUUUUUUGUUAGUUUUGAGGUUGCUUCUUAUGCAUAUUUCAUCUGGAACUUUCCCCUUUGGGGGUGAUCUGUUCUAUCAGCCUGCCCGCUGCUAGAGAGGCCGAGGUGGUCCGGCCAGCCGUGCGCUGCUGCUGAUGUCUCUGUGGGCAUGACCUGGUGAGAUAUCAUUCUGCAUCUGGGGGUCCAUCCUAUCAGCCCAGUGUUCUAGAUUCCCCAGUGACUGACAUUUAGCUAGUCUCCUCUGUCACUCUCCAGUGACAUGUACACACUAUUGGCACGAACUGCAGAUGUCACGUUCUGUGGCUGAGAGCCUCAGUGUGCAUCUGUAGUAGGAGGAUGUCAGUGAGGACUGUCCUGUCGCUGCUGAGCUGGCACCGACUGUGCCUGGUCUACACUCCAGGUCUGCCAAACGACCCAGCAAGGUCCUUCACUACUCUUCUGAUCCAGGAUCACACAUCACUUGUGCUUUGAUGCCUGCUUCUGAACAAUUUUACCUCCUGAGAUGUCCAUUUUUGGGAGUGUGAGCCCUCCUCUCCUGGUGACAGCUGGCUGAGGCCGUCCAGCCUCAGGACACACAGGGAACGGCUGCAUAAGGAGAUCUGGGGCAGGGGGCCCACCAGGAUGUUCUGCCCUGUGGGGGGCAACACCGGCUGUGGUCUGCCGGCGGCAUCCAGGGACAGUCUAUCUAGGUGAGGCUGAGGCCGCCCCCGCUCGCUCCCUCACCCCCAUGCUGACAGCAGUGAGCUGACCACAGACUGGGGGAGCCCCACAGGGAGACUGGCCUCCCCAGCACAUGCCCCGCAGUGCCAGACGCGGUCAUCACAGAGGCAGGUACACGACACCACGGACGUGCCACGUACCCCCCAUCGGGACCAAGGACCGCUGAGAAACCAUGAAGGCCAUGCAGCGACUGUGGUGGCAGGACCGUCAGGAGGCCGUAGGUGCCACGGCUCCCCUCUGGUGGUUCACCUGCCCACCUGUACCUGGGGUGGCCCCUCCAGUGCGCUCCCCAGAGCAGAACACCCCCCAGGCAACACGUCUGAUGAAGGCCAACAGCGUGAGUCCUCUGGUGUUUGGUGACAUCAAAGCUGUGCCGAAAGGCCUUCCCUCACUGCUAACACUUGAAGGGCUUCUGUCCGGUGUGGACCCUCUGAUGGCGAAUGUGGUCUGUCUUAUGCUUAAAGAUCCACCUCCAUUAACUGCACUCUUAGGGUUUCUUCCUCUGAAAAGGAAUGAACACGGGAACCCCCUCAAAGGCAUUUUUAAAUGAAGCGUGGAAGGCAUCAAAGAUGUGCUCUUCUUCAGGACUCAGGCUUCUCCAUCGUUCUCUGUUCCUUGGAAGCGUGAGGGCUAAGGAGCUGCUGACUUCUCUCUCUUGGCCCCACUUCAAGAAAGGCUUGCUUCCCACACACCUCUCCACGCUCCCAGUGCGGGACUGACACUCUGCACCGGGAGGCCAAGGGCCACCAUCGUCUUGCUGGGAGAAGGUGUGACGUUUCUUGGUCAUAGGAGGGAGUGUGAUCUGACACCAGAGAACUUAAUAUAACAUUGCAGUGUUAACAUCUUCACUGGCAGAUUCACGGACUUUCCCCCUCCUGAAUGCAUUUCAACACCUUGAAAUGAACGAUGCCUCAUGUCUCUGCAGGGUGGACAUAGCUCUAACUCUCUGAAGCUGAUUAUAUGUCAAGUUCUGUGUGAAAUGAGAGACCAUGGGGAUUCAUUAUUGCUGGAGUUGAUGGUAUUGCAGUUUUAUAACCAUCUAAUAAAUUAGCAUUUAAUACUGAGAGAUUUCAUCUUAAACUCAGAGGAUUGCUUUGUUUUAAAGAAGAUUUUUGCAAGGAGAAGCAAUGGAAACCAUUCAGAAAAUGUGGGAGAUAAAAAUCCUAUUCAAGAAAACGGAUCUUGGAUCUUUGCAUUCACUUGAUUUGUCAGAAUAUUAUUCUGUGCUAAAAAAUAGAAGGGAUUAAAUGUUAAAAAUCACUGAGGCACAA